GCACUGCUGAGGAGUCCCAUAAUAGGACGAAACGGCGAUCCAGUGC
rfam:Schistosoma rodhaini strain Burundi genome assembly, scaffold: SROB_scaffold0015676